CUGCUAGUCACGAUUAGUUUUGCAGGUUUGCAUUUCAGCGUAUUGUGUAUAUCAGGCUGUGCAAAUCCAUGCAAAACUGAUUGUGAUAAUAU
ensembl:miRNA